CCUACGGGUCGCACCAGGGGGGAAUAUUGCACAAUGGGCGCAAGCCUGAUGCAGCCAUGCCGCGUGUAUGAAGAAGGCCUUCGGGUUGUAAAGUACUUUCAGCGGGGAGGAAGGUGAUGUGGUUAAUAACCACAACAAUUGACGUUACCCGCAGAAGAAGCACCGGCUAACUCCGUGCCAGCAGCCGCGGUAAUACGGAGGGUGCAAGCGUUAAUCGGAAUUACUGGGCGUAAAGCGCACGCAGGCGGUCUGUCAAGUCGGAUGUGAUGUCCCCGGGCUCAACCUGGGAACUGCAUUCGAAACUGGCAGGCUAGAGUCUUGUAGAGGGGGGUAGAAUUCCAGGUGUAGCGGUGAAAUGCGUAGAGAUCUGGAGGAAUACCGGUGGCGAAGGCGGCCCCCUGGACAAAGACUGACGCUCAGGUGCGAAAGCGUGGGGAGCAAACAGGAUUAGAUACCCUCGUAGUC
rnacentral:rRNA from 1 species